UACAGAGGGGGCAAGCGUUGUUCGGAAUUACUGGGCGUAAAGGGCGCGUAGGCGGCCUGCUAAGUCGAACGUGAAAUCCCUGGGCUCAACCCAGGAACUGCGUCCGAUACUGGUUGGCUUGAAUCCGGGGGAGGGACGUGGAAUUCCAGGUGUAGCGGUGAAAUGCGUAGAUAUCUGGAGGAACACCGGUGGCGAAGGCGACGUCCUGGACCGGCAUUGACGCUGAGGCGCGAAAGCCAGGGGAGCAAACGGG
rnacentral:rRNA from 1 species